UCUUAAUUGACAGCCUUUAUUAUUUGCAUAUGGAUGCGAGUGUUAACAUUAACGAGUAAACUGUGAAUACCGUAAGAUCUAAGAGACUUAAAAAUAGGAUUAGCCAAAAAUAUCUGACAUCUUAGGCUAAGCCAUAUAAGAGAUGAUAGACUCAACAAACUGAAAAAAGAUGAUCUUCUUAGGCCAUUGACUUUCGAGUCUUAUCC
rnacentral:lncRNA from 1 species